rnacentral:rRNA from 1 species
GACGAACGCUGGCGGCGUGCUUAACACAUGCAAGUCGAACGGAAAGGCCCUGCUUUUGUGGGGUGCUCGAGUGGCGAACGGGUGAGUAACACGUGAGUAACCUGCCCUUGACUUUGGGAUAACUUCAGGAAACUGGGGCUAAUACCGGAUAGGAGCUCCUGCUGCAUGGUGGGGGUUGGAAAGUUUCGGCGGUUGGGGAUGGACUCGCGGCUUAUCAGCUUGUUGGUGGGGUAGUGGCUUACCAAGGCUUUGACGGAUAGCCGGCCUGAGAGGGUGACCGGCCACAUUGGGACUGAGAUACGGCCCAGACUGCAACGGGAGGCAGCAGUGGGGAAUAUGGCACAAUGGGCGGGAGCCUGAUGCAGCAACGCCGCGUGCGGGAUGACGGCCUUCGGGUUAUAAACCGCUUUGGCCUGUGACGAAGCGUGAGUGACGGUAAUGAGUAAAGAAGCACCGGCUAACUACGUG